CAUCAUGGCCCUUACGACCAGGGCUACACACGUGCUACAAUGGCGCAUACAAAGAGAAGCGACUCGCGAGAGCAAGCGGACCUCAUAAAGUGCGUCGUAGUCCGGAUUGGAGUCUGCAACUCGACUCCAUGAAGUCGGAAUCGCUAGUAAUCGUGGAUCAGAAUGCCACGGUGAAUACGUUCCCGGGCCUUGUACACACCGCCCGUCACACCAUGGGAGUGGGUUGCAAAAGAAGUAGGUAGCUUAACCUUCGGGAGGGCGCUUACCACUUUGUGAUUCAUGACUGGGGUGAAGUCGUAACAAGGUAACCGUAGGGGAACCUGCGGUUGGAUCACCUCCUUACCUGAAAGAAGC
rnacentral:rRNA from 1 species